CAUCAACUCCUUCCAAGCUUUAUGAGAAGUCUGUGCAGGAAGAAACCAUGCCACAAAAAAAGAGAAGACCUUCACUGAAAAGGCUUGUUCAUAAACCCAUGUGCAACAUGAAGAGGUGAAGUUACUGGAUAUAGAAGGAGUAACAGAAGAGGCUUGAUGAGGACUGAAGUUCAAAACCAUAUUGAAGUAUCAAAACAUAGUCAGGCAAAUGUUAAUCUAGCAUACCAAAACCUGGAAAAUAUCGAAGUUUAAUGAAAUAAAACAUCAAAAUAUGAUCUCAUUUAAAGCAAAUUUGAAGAGGACUUGACCUACCUACCACAGUAUGCUGUACCUCUGAAAUUUGUGAAUGUAUUUUGAUGGGAAUUUCUCACAAUAAUCUGCUGUUUAUGCAUCUAAGGGAUUACUUUCAUGUGAGUGAGUGGCACUCUCCAAAGGGAACUCGCUAUAUCAAGCUCUUGUGUCAACCAUCCUAACAGAAUUUAUCACAAUAGAUUGUGCUGAAUAAUCUACUGUAUGAGGUUAGUAUGACUUCUGCCUAGAUAGCUCAAUGAAUGGAUGACAACCAUUGCAAGACACUGUGAUAUAGCACUAUGAAAAUUAACAUUACUGGAAGGAAUCUCAAAAAGUAUGUGAGAAACCUCUGGGUGGUACUAUGGCAUUUCCUGCACUGAUGGCUAUCAUGGAGCUGUUUUCAGCCAGCAUGACUGAGGACAACCUUCAGGCUGCUCCAAAUUAUGCUUCAUACAUAGCAGAGGGCAGUGCACAACCAGCAACCACCCGUCAAGAAUCAAAUCGAAGGUUUUCAUUGAGAUCGAUAACUACAUGCAUUAACACUGGAUUGGCUCUAACAGAGUCUAAUCUGUGUAAUCAGAACUACACAGCUUACAUGCAAGAAGCAACUGCUGCGGAAUGAUGUUUGUGAAACUUCUGUUCCUGCUAAGUAGAGAAAUAUAUAUAUAUACAAAGGAAAUAUCUCUGUCUGAAGCCUUACUGACAUCACUGAUGAUCUCUGAGUUGGGACAAGUCCAUAAUGACAGAGAUGUGUAAAGUCCAAGUCGGCCCCAUGGGCAUACUCCUUUUCUCCUCAACAAAACACAUUCCAUCGGAUAAUUCCACCUUCUGUGAUACUGUUGCCCUUGCUGCAGUUGCAAAAAGUGUGGAAAAGAAGUCCUCAAACCACCCUACAGACUCAGAAAGAACCUCCUGAUCAUGUGGUGCCUUAAUGUCAGGCAUUCCUCCCAGCUCUGAUACUUAAUGCUGUCAGACAAUGUAGAAACCCAACAAACUUUCUGCUCACAAGUUCCAGCUCGCUUCCCAACAGGCAAGUCUCCGCAGGAGUGUGAUACACAGCAUGAACAGGAAUACACUGGAGUUGGCAAGUUUUCCAGUGAGGUGGGGAUUUCUCUUAUAUAUUUCCAUGUCUAAAAAAGGCUGCUUGCAAGGAAAUUUCACUGUCAUCAGGAAAAACUGUUUCCCAAACUGUGGCUACUUGUCAUGCCGGCACAGAUUUUUUUCUAAACUUUCCUAAACAUACAUUCACACACACAAACUUUACUUUUGAUCACCCUCUUACCAGAGCAUCUUCAGCCAAUAGAAUGGUGAGAGUCAAACACCCACACCUAUAUUGGAUUGGCAUCCACAAUAUUAUGAAUUUGUGCAAUUAACUAUACAAAUCAUGCAUCAAUAAAUCUCAUAACCUAAGUUCCCUGAAGUUGAAUUAAACCCACAAAAUAUUGUCCCAUCUUGCAAAGCUAUAGAUAAGGAUCAACACACUGGAAUGUCAUCAAAAUUUUAUUUUCAGUUGCACUAACCAAAGCUAUGAUGAAUGACAGUAAUUUCUAUGACAGUUUGCUUUCUAACAAAAUCAAGGAAGAGUAAAAAUAGGGAGAAAAAUUAACACUGUGGGGCUGAGACGAAAGAAUCCUUCAGCAGAACUUCACAAGAAACUCUUUUCUGUAGCUGUAACUUCCUUAAACAAGCAACAGUUUUUUCAAGUCUGAAUCUAAAUAUAAACUUCUCUCAUGAUCAUGCUGAGCAGACAAUCAGUCAUAAAUUUUGCAAUUUUUCCACUAAUGGAAUAAAAUACAACUCCAAAACUUCAGGCCACAGUAAUAUUUAUCAACUCACUGCUGAUAUGUAUUUCUGUAAUUAUUAAGCACUAUUUCCACAGGAAAUGCUCGAAAGGCUUCCAUGAAAGGAGGAGAGACAUCUCUUUUUUUUUUUCCUUUUCACCCUGAUAUAGCCUCAGUAAUUACAGCACAGAUUUCUAUGAAAAGAUCCUUAAGUAUUUAUAGUGAAUAGGAAAGGGACAGUAAGCUAUCUUUAGUUCACAAGAAUUUCAUCAAAAUGACUCACAAAAAGUUCUCUGACACACAAAUCUGCCAGCACUUGAUUCUUUCUCCCCUGCUGCAGGAAUCUGUUCCGUGGAUGUGCGGACUCAGGGUGUGGGAAGAACCUGCAGAGACUACCAAUGGAUCUAUUAUUUGGUUCAUAAAACUUGUAAAAAUCUCACAGAAUGUACAACGUGCUAUUGUGUCCCUGAAUCUCUUUCAUGACUUGGGCAGCAGCCUGACUCAAAGCAGUCUGGCCUGUUUUCAGUUCUACCAUAAAAGGUUUUUUUUUGAAAGAGCCAUUUAACUGUGACCAUGGUUUCAGCAGCACUGUGAAUACAAAGGAAGAGUUGAAGCCAUAUGGACACUCCAGUAUACUCAGACUUCAGCAAAUCAGUACAUUUUUUCCCCCCCUUAGAACUUGCUUUUGCAUAAUUAGCUCUCUUUAUAUACUGAAUGAACUAAUACAUCAAUAUUCAAGAGGCAGUAAACUGCAACUUGUGAGAG